rnacentral:rRNA from 1 species
GCGGGGGUCCUGGGAAGAGUUCUCUUUUCUUCUUAACGGCCUAUCACCCUGAAAUCGGUUUGUCCGGAGCUAGGGUUCCACGGCCGGCAGAGCCCUGCACCUCGGCAGGGUCCGGUGCGCCCCCGACGAUCCUUGAAAAUCCACCGGAAGGAAUAGUUUUCACGCCAGGUCGUACUCAUAACCGCAGCAGGUCUCCAAGGUGAACAGCCUCUAGUUGAUAGAACAAUGUAGAUAAGGGAAGCCGG